CCCCUAGAUGUUCUGGGCCGCACGCGCGCUACACUGAACAGUUCGACAAGUCUUAACCUUGGCCGAUAGGUCUGGGUAAUCUUUGAACGCUGUUCGUGAUUGGGAUAGACCUUUGCAAUUAUGGGUCUUCAACGAGGAAUUCCUAGUAAACGCAAGUCAUCAGCUUGCAUUGAUUACGUCCCUGCCCUUUGUACACACCGCCCGUCGCACCUACCGAUUGAAUGGUCCGGUGAAAUCUCGGGACGGCGGCUUGGUCGCUUGCGUCCGACUGCUGAAACUUGAUUAAACCAUAUCAUUUAGAGGAAGGUGAAGUCGUAACA
rnacentral:rRNA from 1 species